rnacentral:lncRNA from 1 species
AUGUGGAAGCUAAGUGAAAGCAAUAUAAACAAUUUAAAAAGCUUGAUUGAACAAGAAGUGAGGGUAAAAAAUAAGCCACAUACACACCUUAAACAAGACGAAAACCAAAACUAACAUAAUCGUACAAACCCUAAUUUUGUUGAAGCACAAUACCAGAAUACACGUGUAUCAAAGAUGGUAUCAACAUACACAUUAAACUUCAUAGUUUCAACAAUGGCAGUUCAGUUUCUUUACGAGUUUCCAAUCAUAUCCAUCGAGGGCGAACUCGCUGGGUGAACUUUCUUGUUCCCACCAUGUUUAACUCCAACGUUCCUCUUCUCACAAUAUUGAAUGUUAUUCUCCUCCCUUUGCUUAUUUUUCUCCCUGAUACGCUCUUGUUGAGCAUUAAUGUGGGCAAAGUUGAAACCGAUGGACGACAUUGUUGCUAAACUAAAUAUGGUAUAUAUAUGUGUGUGUAUUUAAUGUUGUU